rnacentral:rRNA from 1 species
CUACAGGCUUAACACAUGCAAGUCGAGGGGCAGCAUGGUCUUAGCUUGCUAAGGCCGAUGGCGACCGGCGCACGGGUGAGUAACACGUAUCCAACCUGCCGUCUACUCUUGGACAGCCUUCUGAAAGGAAGAUUAAUACAAGAUGGCAUCAUGAGUCCGCAUGUUCACAUGAUUAAAGGUAUUCCGGUAGACGAUGGGGAUGCGUUCCAUUAGAUAGUAGGCGGGGUAACGGCCCACCUAGUCUUCGAUGGAUAGGGGUUCUGAGAGGAAGAUCCCCCACAUUGGAACUGAGACACGGUCCAAACUCCUACGGGAGGCAGCAGUGAGAAAUAUUGGUCAAUGGGCGAGAGCCUGAACCAGCCAAGUAGCGUGAAGGAUGACUGCCCUAUGGGUUGUAAACUUCUUUUAUAAAGGAAUAAAGUCGGGUAUGGAUACCCGUUUGCAUGUACUUUAUGAAUAAGGAUCGGCUAACUCCGUGCCAGCAGCCGCGGUAAUACGGAGGAUCCGAGCGUUAUCCGGAUUUAUUGGGUUUAAAGGGAGCGUAGAUGGAUGUUUAAGUCAGUUGUGAAAGUUUGCGGCUCAACCGUAAAAUUGCAGUUGAUACUGGAUAUCUUGAGUGCAGUUGAGGCAGGCGGAAUUCGUGGUGUAGCGGUGAAAUGCUUAGAUAUCACGAAGAACUCCGAUUGCGAAGGCAGCCUGCUAAGCUGCAACUGACAUUGAGGCUCGAAAGUGUGGGUAUCAAACAGGAUUAGAUACCCUGGUAGUCCACACGGUAAACGAUGAAUACUCGCUGUUUGCGAUAUACGGCAAGCGGCCAAGCGAAAGCGUUAAGUAUUCCACCUGGGGAGUACGCCGGCAACGGUGAAACUCAAAGGAAUUGACGGGGGCCCGCACAAGCGGAGGAACAUGUGGUUUAAUUCGAUGAUACGCGAGGAACCUUACCCGGGCUUAAAUUGCAGAUGAAUUACGGUGAAAGCCGUAAGCCGCAAGGCAUCUGUGAAGGUGCUGCAUGGUUGUCGUCAGCUCGUGCCGUGAGGUGUCGGCUUAAGUGCCAUAACGAGCGCAACCCUUGUUGUCAGUUACUAACAGGUUCCGCUGAGGACUCUGACAAGACUGCCAUCGUAAGAUGUGAGGAAGGUGGGGAUGACGUCAAAUCAGCACGGCCCUUACGUCCGGGGCUACACACGUGUUACAAUGGGGGGUACAGAGGGCCGCUACCACGCGAGUGGAUGCCAAUCCCAAAAACCUCUCUCAGUUCGGACUGGAGUCUGCAACCCGACUCCACGAAGCUGGAUUCGCUAGUAAUCGCGCAUCAGCCACGGCGCGGUGAAUACGUUCCCGGGCCUUGUACACACCGCCCGUCAAGCCAUGGGAGCCGGGGGUACCUGAAGUGCGUAACCGCGAGGAGCGCCCUAGGGUAAAACUGGUGACU